CACGUAGGGGCCAAGCGUUGUCCGGAUUUAUUGGGCGUAAAGAGCUCGUAGGCGGCUCGGUAAGUCGGGUGUGAAACCUCCAGGCUCAACCUGGAGACGCCACCCGAUACUGCUGUGGCUAGAGUCCGGUAGGGGAGCGUGGAAUUCCUGGUGUAGCGGUGAAAUGCGCAGAUAUCAGGAGGAACACCAGCGGCGAAGGCGGCGCUCUGGGCCGGAACUGACGCUGAGGUGCGAAAGCGUGGGGAGCAAACAGG
rnacentral:rRNA from 1 species